ACAGGGGGGAUAACACUGAGAAAUUGGUAUUAAUACCCCAUAAUAUCAUAGAAGGCAUCUUUUAUGGUUGAAAAUUCCGAUGGUUAGAGAUGGGCAUGCGUUGUAUUAGCUAGUUGGUGGGGUAACGGCUCACCAAGGCGACGAUACAUAGGGGGACUGAGAGGUUAACCCCCCACACUGGUACUGAGACACGGACCAGACUCCUACGGGAGGCAGCAGUGAGGAAUAUUGGUCAAUGGACGCAAGUCUGAACCAGCCAUGCCGCGUGCAGGAUGACGGCUCUAUGAGUUGUAAACUGCUUUUGUACGAGGGUAAACGCAGAUACGUGUAUCUGUCUGAAAGUAUCGUACGAAUAAGGAUCGGCUAACUCCGUGCCAGCAGCCGCGGUAAUACGGAGGAUUCAAGCGUUAUCCGGAUUUAUUGGGUUUAAAGGGUGCGUAGGCGGUUUGAUAAGUUAGAGGUGAAAUUUCGGGGCUCAACCCUGAACGUGCCUCUAAUACUGUUGAGCUAGAGAGUAGUUGCGGUAGGCGGAAUGUAUGGUGUAGCGGUGAAAUGCUUAGAGAUCAUACAGAACACCGAUUGCGAAGGCAGCUUACCAAACUAUAUCUGACGUUGAGGCACGAAAGCGUGUGGAGCAAACAGGAUUAGAUACCCUGGUAGUCCACGCAGUAAACGAUGAUAACUCGUUGUCGGCGAUACACAGUCGGGUGGGUAAGAGAAAGCGAUAAGUUUUCCCCCUCGGGAGGGCGUUCGCAAGAAAGAAACUCAAAGGAAUUGACGGGGACCCGCACACGCGGUGGGGCAUGUGGUUUAAUUGGAAGCAACGCGAAGAACCUUACCAAGUCUUGACAUCCCUCUGACCGACUCUUAACCGAGUCUAUCUUUCGGGACAGAGGAGACAGGUGGUGCAUGGUUGUCGUCAGCUCGUGUCGUGGGAUGUUGGGUUAAGUCCCGCAACGAGCGCAACCCCUAUCCUCAGUAGCCAGCAUUUAAGAUGGGCACUCUGGGGAGACUGCCAGGGAUAACCUGGAGGAAGGCGGGGAGGACGUCAAAUCAUCAUGCCCCCUAUGAUUUGGGCUACACACGUGCUACAAUGGCGUAAACAAGGGAAGCGAACCUGCGAGGGUGGGCAAAUCCCAAAAAUAACGUCCCAGUUCGGACUGUAGUCUGCAACCCGACUACACGAAGCUGGAAUCGUUAGUAAUCGCGGAUCAGAAUGCCGCGGUGAAUAAAAUCCCGGGUCUUGUACA
rnacentral:rRNA from 1 species